CCCUCCCUUGUAAAAUUUUAAUUUUAUGACUUGUCACAUUUUUAAAAUCCAACGCUCAACUAAGCUAUUAUGUUUUUUUGGUGCUACCCAUUUAUUUUUUUUGAAACAUGUUUUUCUUAGUGUUUAUUCAUAGUCAUCAUUGAAGUACAACUUGGUAAACUACAAAACACAUCAAAUUCAGUUAUAAAAAUUUGAGUAACAAAGGUAUACUAAUUAUUGUAUUGCCUGAAAGAGUGUCAUUGCUAUUAAAAGCAGUGAAGAAUUCAAGUACUCUGGAAGAAAAGAAAAUACGUAAGUAAAUGGUCAAUUAUUUGGCACAAAUCGGAGUUAAAGACAAAGGAGAUUGUAUAUUUUAUUUGCUAAGAAUAGUUUUU